rnacentral:rRNA from 1 species
UACGUAGGGUGCGAGCGUUGUUCGGAUUCAUUGGGCGUAAAGGGUGUGUAGGUGGCGCCGUAAGUCGGGUGUGAAAUCUCGGGGCUUAACUCCGAAACUGCAUUCGAUACUGCGGUGCUUGAGGACUGGAGAGGAGACUGGAAUUCAUGGUGUAGCAGUGAAAUGCGUAGAGAUCAUGAGGAAGACCAGUGGCGAAGGCGGGUCUCUGGACAGUUCCUGACACUGAGACACGAAGGCCAGGGGAGCAAACGGG